CAGCAGCCGCGGUAAUAAACGUAGGAGGCAAGCGUUAUCCGGAUUUAUUGGGCGUAAAGCGCGUGCAGGCGGUUUAACAAGUUGGAUGUGAAAGCUCCUGGCUUAACUGGGAGAGGUCGUCCAGAACUGUUAGACUAGAGAAUGGGAGAGGGAGGUGGAAUUCCGGGUGUAGUGGUGAAAUGCGUAGAUAUCCGGAGGAACACCAGUGGCGAAAGCGGCCUCCUAGACCAUUUCUGACGCUAAGACGCGAAAGCUAGGGUAGCAAACGGGAUUAGAGACCCCGGUAGUCCUAGCUGUAAACGAUGUAGACUUGGCGUUGGCGGAGUUAAAUCUGCCAGUGCCGUAGCUAACGCGAUAAGUCUACCGCCUGGGGACUACGAUCGCAAGAUUAAAACUCAAAGGAAUUGACGGGGACCCGCACAAGCAGCGGAGCGUGUGGUUUAAUUCGAUGCUGCCCGAAGAACCUUACCAGGGUUUGACAUGUAAGUGGUAGUGAUCCGAAAGGUGAACGACCCUCGGGGAGCUUACACAGGUGCUGCAUGGCUGUCGUCAGCUCGUGUCGUGAGAGUUCGGGUUAAGUUCGCUAACGAGCGCAACCCUCACUGUGUGUUACAAGUGUCACACGGGACUGCCGGUUUUAAGCCGGAAGAAGGCGGGGAUGACGUCAAGUCAGCAUGGCCUUUAUAUCCUGGGCUACACACACGCUACAAUGGUCGGUACAAUAGGUUGCCAAGCCGACGAGGCGGAGCCAAUCCUUAAAGCCGGCCUCAGUUCAGAUUGCAGGCUGCAACUCGCUUGCAUGAAGCUGGAGUUGCUAGUAACCGCAGGUCAGCUAUACUGCGGUGAAUACGUUCCCGGGUCUUGUACACACCGCCCGUCACGUCAUGGAAGCUGGCAACACCUGAAGCCUGUAUCCUACCCGCAAGGAAGGAGCAAUCUAAGGUGAAGUCGGUGAUUGGGACGGAAGUCGUAACAAGGUAACCGUA
rnacentral:rRNA from 1 species